GGCGUGCUAGCGCAAUGGCAGCGCGUUGCUUUCCGGUGGCAAAGGCUCCAGGUUCGAGUCCUGGGUACGUCG
rfam:Nectria haematococca mpVI 77-13-4 chromosome 6 genomic scaffold NECHAsca_37_chr6_2_0, whole genome shotgun sequence.